CCCAUACUAACAUUCAUUCUAAACACAAGCUAGUCGAGAGAGCAUCUAAACAAAUUCAUAACAUUAUUUCGAUAUAUUUAAUAUAUAUUCGUACAUAUAUAUUUUUAUUACGCGCUUUAAAAAUGGAAUACAACAUUAUUUGGCCAAAGAAAAAUUCACAUUGGCAAUUGAAGCCGGUCGAAGUAAUGAAGACUCCUCCCAACGGAACCUGGGACAGUCUGAUGUAUCGCGUUAAGUGCUUCUUUUAUCCUCCAUAUGCAGUCGAGCGCAUAGAUAUUACAUACGCCGUGGCCCCCCCGAUGUCGAAUCCUUUUGUGAUAUUGGCAACUGUUCUAUUCCUUGUGGUGUCGCUUGCUGUGAUGAUUUACUCCAUUAAACGCUAUUUUUCAAAGUCAAAGAAACAAGUUGUGGUUGCUCCACCACACAUUGAGGAAGAUAUCGUUAACGAGGGCGAUGGUCCUGAUGAAAAGGAAAAAGUAAAUUAAAAUUAUUCCAAUUAUGAACAAAUUUUCCAGGGUAUCGAAGGAUGUGAAGUAUUGGGGGUUGCGUUACAUAUUAUUUAUUGUUAUAAGACGAUUAGGAGCAGUGGUUAAAUAACUAUAAAAUUUGGCGACAAAAUUGGAUAUGUGAAAGGAAACUUGAAUUUACGAUUAGGACUGGAAGACUGCAGCUUAUUAUCAAUGACAAUUUACGAAGUGUUUUAGAACAGCUUGGCUUGUGGGAAAUAUAACGAAGAUGGCAAGUAGGAGACCAGUUCUGAAGUAGUAAAUUCCUGGCAACGAAAUUGGGAAGAAGAAGCACUGAGGGUGAAUCGAAGAAAAGUAAAAAUUACAUGUCCUUAUGUUGAGAUGGGGGAGAUCCUAUUUGUCCUUACAAAAUCAUUACGUGUUGCGGUAUUUUCUGGUUAACUGAUAUAAUUAAAAUUGCGUAUCCUGGUAA